rnacentral:lncRNA from 1 species
AAAAACAUAAGAAAAAGAAAAAAAAAAUAAAUAUAAUUGCAUGUGUUUGUAGCAGAUACACGGAGGUAUCCGAAUGUAACAAUGGUGAGGAUAUGAGAUUAGCGUCUAAUCAUUUCCGAAGUAGUAUACGUGGUCUUUCCUUAAAGAUCAGUCAGUUUAUGUAACCAAGAUGGAUAAAUCUCAGAAAAGUCCUCUAGACACUAUCGUAAAAGUCUAAGUCCUAGCGCGUCUUCGGCUACAGCAAGCGAAGCCAGGGGAUGAUUAUACGCAGACAUGCCUGCGGACAUGUUUGGUCUGAAAUUAAGCCAAGCUGAGCGAUGACCUAUAGCAACGUAAUUUACUAGUUCAAAACUAAACCAUCAUAUCCUGAUAUCGUUUUUCUGUGACAUGAAAGACGGCGUGAUAAAAACUCUACUAGUAUUUAUAAUGGAGAUUGAUUAUUCCUGGGCUUAUAAAUACGCUUUUCCAUCUAGGUACAAAUAUUAAUCUUAUAUUCAACAAAAAAACAGAGUUCCAAUGUCCCCGCAUUGUUCAUAUUUUAUCUAUCAAAGAUAUAAGGACAAUAACUAAAACAAAUUAAAAUAUAAAAGCUUAAGACCAAUUGCAAUGGGAUUUCCAUUAUAUUUUUUUUAUUCAAGGGGCAUAGUUGGUUAAAUAUAUGUGAUCAGAACUUUUUUUCGCAAGUGUCAAAGUCAUUGCUGAUGAUAUAAGUUUCACAAAAAUCUGGCAAGAAGUUACACAUGGCAGCGCUAACAAGAUCGGACGGACAGAAACCCGGUAAUUUCAAGUCCCCUGCAACGCGUGAAGACAAGUGAUAAAAA